ACGGGAGGCAGCAGUGGGGAAUAUUGGACAAUGGGGGGAAACCCUGAUCCAGCGACGCCGCGUGAGUGAAGAAGUAUUUCGGUAUGUAAAGCUCUAUCAGCAAGGAAGAAAAUGACGGUACUUGACUAAGAAGCUCCGGCUAAAUACGUGCCAGCAGCCGCGGUAAUACGUAUGGAGCAAGCGUUAUCCGGAUUUACUGGGUGUAAAGGGAGCGUAGACGGCAAAGCAAGUCUGAAGUGAAAUCCCGGGGCUCAACCCCGGAACUGCUUUGGAAACUGUUUAGCUAGAGUGCAGGAGAGGUAAGCGGAAUUCCUAGUGUAGCGGUGAAAUGCGUAGAUAUUAGGAGGAACACCAGUGGCGAAGGCGGCUUACUGGGCUGUAACUGACGUUGAGGCUCGAAAGCGUGGGGAGCAAACAGGAUUAGAUACCCUGGUA
rnacentral:rRNA from 1 species